GCGCCGGUGGCGGAAUUGGUAGACGCACUAGCUUGAGGGGCUAGCGGUCGCAAGAUCGUGCUGGUUCAAGUCCAGUCCGGCGCACCA
rnacentral:tRNA from 1 species